CCUCGCUGGUGUCACCCCUAUCCUCGGUGCCGUCACCCGGAUCUUUGGCAUCUCCCAGCCCGCCGGCGUCACCCGCUUCCUUCGCGUCGUCACCCGUCCCUUCAGUGUCAGCCGUGACCUUGGGGCCGUCACAGCCGUCCUCGCUGCCGCCCAGCUCCUUGCUGCUGACACCCGGAUCCUUGGGGACGUCACCCGGAUCCGCACUGUCCCCCAGGUCUGCGGUGGCGUCACCCGAACCCCCGACAUCGGCGGCGCCGCUUCCGCUCGCUCCUCCUUCCGCCCCUUCUCCUUCCUCCGCCAUCUCAUCCGUGAACGGAUCUUCCCCCUGGGAACGGUACGGAGGACGGCGCCGGGGUGGCUCCAC
rnacentral:lncRNA from 1 species